UACGAAGGGGGCUAGCGUUGUUCGGAAUCACUGGGCGUAAAGGGCGCGUAGGCGGCUGUUCAAGUCGGGGGGUGAAAUCCUGUGGCUCAACCACAGAAUGGCCUUCGAUACUGGACGGCUAGAGACCGGAAGAGGUGAGUGGAACUGCGAGUGUAGAGGUGAAAUUCGUAGAUAUUCGCAAGAACACCAGUGGCGAAGGCGGCUCACUGGUCCGGUUCUGACGCUGAGGCGCGAAAGCGUGGGGGAGCAAACAGG
rnacentral:rRNA from 1 species